rnacentral:tRNA from 2 species
GCAUUGGUAGUCCAGCGUCAGAACGCCGGUCUUGUAAGCCGGAUGUCGGAGGUUAAAAUCCUUCCCAAUGCU